GGUUUGGACUCAGCUAAUUCCUAAUUGGGUUAAAAAUUUGAUGAGAUAUUUAGAUUUCUAAUUGGAUUAGGUUCAUGUUUAUCAGUGGUUUCAAUCCAAAUUUGAUUUUAAUUAGAAUUGAAUUAGAAAUGAAAAGUCCAAGUCAAACUGAGACUCUAUCCUUAUCUUUUGCGCCACAUCUGGAUCCAUGCUAAUUUCUCCAUGCCUAAUUAGAUUUAGAUUAUGAUUUUUGACAUCAUGAG
rnacentral:lncRNA from 1 species